rnacentral:rRNA from 1 species
AUUGAACGCUGGCGGCAUGCCUUACACAUGCAAGUCGAACGGCAGCACGGGAGCAAUCCUGGUGGCGAGUGGCGAACGGGUGAGUAACAUAUCGGAACGUGUCCAGUAGUGGGGGAUAGCCCGGCGAAAGCCGGAUUAAUACCGCAUACGACCUACGGGUGAAAGCGGGGGAUCGCAAGACCUCGCGCCAUUGGAGCGGCCGAUAUCAGAUUAGCUUGUUGGUGGGGUAAAAGCCUACCAAGGCGACGAUCUGUAGCUGGUCUGAGAGGACGACCAGCCACACUGGGACUGAGACACGGCCCAGACUCCUACGGGAGGCAG